CAUUUAAAGAAAGCGUAAUAGCUCACUGGUCGAGUCGGCCUGCGCGGAAGAUGUAACGGGGCUAAACCAUGCACCGAAGCUGCGGCAGCGAACGUAUCACUUAAAGCGAUUCAGCGGGUUACGAUUGACGGAGCGAAGCGACGUCAAAGCGUAUACAAAGUCGAGUCGGUUUAAGGAUACGUUCGUUGGGUAGGGGAGCGUUCUGUAAGCCUGUGAAGGUGGCCUGUGAGGGUUGCUGGAGGUAUCAGAAGUGCGAAUGCUGACAUAAGUAACGAUAAAGCGGGUGAAAAGCCCGCUCGCCGGAAGACCAAGGGUUCCUGUCCAACGUUAAUCGGGGCAGGGUGAGUCGACCCCUAAGGCGAGGCCGAAAGGCGUAGUCGAUGGGAAACGGGUUAAUAUUCCCGUACUUGGUGUUACUGCGAAGGGGGGACGGAGAAGGCUAUGUUGGCCGGGCGACGGUUGUCCCGGUUUAAGCGUGUAGGCUGGUUUUCCAGGCAAAUCCGGAAAAUCAAGGCUGAGGCGUGAUGACGAGGCACUACGGUGCUGAAGCAACAAAUGCCCUGCUUCCAGGAAAAGCCUCUAAGCAUCAGGUAACAUCAAAUCGUACCCCAAACCGA
rnacentral:rRNA from 1 species